ACGAACGCUGGCGGCAUGCCUCACCCCUGCAAGUCGAACGAGACCUUCGGGUCUAGUGGCGCACGGGUGCGUAACGCGUGGGAACCUGCCCUUAGGUUCGGAAUAACUCCCCGAAAGGGGUGCUAAUACCGGAUAAUGUCUUCGGACCAAAGAUUUAUCGCCUUUGGAUGGGCCCGCGUUGGAUUAGCUAGUUGGUAGGGUAAAAGCCUACCAAGGCGACGAUCCAUAGCUGGUCUGAGAGGAUGAUCAGCCACACUGGGACUGAGACACGGCCCAGACUCCUACGGGAGGCAGCAGUGGGGAAUAUUGGACAAUGGGCGAAAGCCUGAUCCAGCAAUGCCGCGUGAGUGAUGAAGGCCUUAGGGUUGUAAAGCUCUUUUACCCGGGAUGAUAAUGACAGUACCGGGAGAAUAAGCUCCGGCUAACUCCGUG
rnacentral:rRNA from 1 species